GCCGCUUUAGCUCAGUCGGUAGAGCGUCUCACUCGUAAUGAGAAGGUCGCGAGUUCGAUUCUCGCAAGCGGCUC
rnacentral:tRNA from 1 species